GACGAACGCUGGCGGCGCGCCUAACACAUGCAAGUCGAACGGGAUCUUUUAGAGAGCUUGCUCUCUGGCUGAUCUAGUGGCGGACGGGUGAGUAACACGUGAGCAACCUGCCCUGGAGUGGGGGAUAACGUCUGGAAACGGACGCUAAUACCGCAUAACAUCAUUGAGCGGCAUCGCUUGGUGAUCAAAGGAGAAAUCCGCUUUGGGAUGGGCUCGCGCCCGAUUAGGUAGUUGGUGGGGUAAAGGCCUACCAAGCCAACGAUCGGUAGCCGGACUGAGAGGUUGAACGGCCACAUUGGGACUGAGACACGACCCAGACUCCUACGGGAGGCAGCAGUGGGGGAUAUUGCACAAUGGGGGAAAGCCUGAUCCAGCCAUGCCGCAUGAGUGAAGAAGGCCUUUGGGUUGUAAAGCUCUUUUAGUGAGGAAGAUAAUGACGGUACUCACAGAAGAAGUCCUGGCUAACUCCGUGCCAGCCGCCGCAGUAAGAC
rnacentral:rRNA from 1 species